AUUGAACGCAGACGUCAGGCCUAACACAUGCAAGUCGCGCGAGCGGCGGACUGGUGCGUAAUUUAUGGUGAUCUGCCUGAUGGAGGGGGAUAACUACUGGAAACGGUAGCUAAUACCGCCUACCAUCAGAUGAACCCAUAUGGGAUUAGCUUGUAGGUAAGUUAACGGCUUACCUAGGCGACUAUCCCUAGCUGGUCUGAGAGGAUGAUCAGCCAAACUGGGACUGAGACACGGCCCAGACUCCUACGGGAGGCAGCAGUGGGGAAUAUGGCACAAUGGGCGCAAGCCUGAUGCAGCCAUGCCGAGUGUAGGAAGAAGGCCGUAGGGUGGUAGAGUACUUUUAGUCGGGAGGCGUUACCGAAAGAAGAAGCACGGGCGAACUCCGUGCCAGCAGCCGCGGUAAUUC
rnacentral:rRNA from 1 species